UAUAGUCUGGCUGGGAUACUAUCGAUAGCACCAGGCGUUUGGUGCUUGCUCGGAGCCGAAUUCCUUAACCUUUGACCUGGUCAAAGAUCUCCCUAGGGAAGCGUGCAGGAAUUAGGUACGGCUUCAUGUGGUGACCCUCGAAGUUCGCGCCCUCCGAUGGAUUAAGCGAUUCAGUUGAUGAGGGAUCGGUUCAGCCGGGUUCGAAGACCUUAAUUGCAGAAUCGGUUUCGCUGAAUGAGCCGAAUGUACGGAAUGCACAGUAAUUCAGGUCGGCUGAAGAGCCGAAUACCUUUAUAUAUAGACAUUAGAUUUGAAAACUUGUACAAAAGAAAGUGUGUAUGUGCGGCAUACAUACUCCAGAAAUCUAAUCCUAAAACUACUCCUAAGAAAGACAAUAAAUGCGAGAAAAGAAAAGAUUACAAGUAGAUUAUUCAUAGAAAUACAAAGAAAAUGCGUAGAGAUUGAAAGGUGGUCUUCUAUUCUCAGGGAAAAUACCCCUCUUCAGGCGUUACUCGCCUAUUUAUAUUCCGCUUAUUAUUGUUUCGGUUAUGUACACGAUCGGCCACUUCCCUGUUUUAGUGGGCCACUACAAGCUGAUCCUAACUACUCAAAACUACUUGCGGUUAUGCUGUUAUUCCUUUUCUCUACUCUCGGUGCACCAAAUGCCAUAUAAUCCUGACUUCUAAGCUUCUCGGCUGAAUCGUGCACGAACCUGCCACGUGGCUUUUUAUUAUUGGCCCUAACAAUUGCCUCCUCGGCAGCUUCCGAACAGACGAUUCGGUAGCUGACGUGAUCCUUUCUGAAGGUGCGAUUUUCGAAAUCAUCAUUUUGAACUACCUUGUACGAUUUCUUUCCCAGCCGUCCUUUCACCUUUGAUGGCCACGAUCUCCCAUAUUCCAUUUUGUCUUAUAUGCAGCAUUAAUUAGGUCACAUUUAUUGCUACUGUUUUUUCAUCAUUAAAGCCAGCUUCGGAAUUCCAUUCGGCGGCUUUUCUUUCCCUUUUUCUCUUUCUUGUUUUCUUUCUCUCCACGUUUUCUUUUCCUCUUUCGCCUUUUUUUUCUCUUCCUCUUCGCCUGAGGCUUUCAUCUUUGCUCUUCAUCUUCGCCCUUUUUGUCUUUGACUUUUAGUGUUUCUCUUUCGCCAUCUCCUUAGAUUUUUCUAGGAUGGCGCCGCUUCCGUCUCUUUCUUCUUCUUCUUCAUUGGAUUACAACUUACUUAGAUAAUUUGUUCCAUUGGACCCUUUUCAAUUCAUUUUAGGUUCCUCUUUUACUGAUGACCCAAUCCCUGAGGAUUUUCCAUUCUUAAGUGAGGGUUUUCCAUUAAUAGCCGAUGCCAUUCAUCUCCAUUCCUGGUAUGCUUCGACUUCGACGGGAAAAGUCUCCGGACUUGAUUGAGUGUUUCGGAAGCAUACCUCGCCUGGUUGGAUCGGGUGGAAGUUUCGUAUGUCGAUUUCUGGCGGGAGAUUGGUAUCUAUGAAGCUAUUCAAUUAUCUCGAACACCUCCUGUAGCCGACAACCUUCUUUUGGCUACGGUUCUCUGUUUUUGGUCCCCUGUUUCCAACACUUUCCUUUCUAGAGAGGAACUACUUACUCCUACUCUCCUUGACGUAGCAGCAAUCAUUGGUCUGCAUCCUCAUAGCAUCACCCUUUCGAUAGCCUAUAAUCCUAACGGCGUUGUUGAUUUUGAGGCCCAUCUUGAUAUUACAGAUUUAGCUUAUACCAAAUUUAUUCUCAAGUUCGCAGGCCAUUACCCUGCUGCGGUUACUAGGAAGGAACAUAUAGUAUUCCUUCUCUAUUGGUUGUGCCAUAACCUCUUUUGUACUCGUUCACAGAAGAUUAAUCGAGAUUUUGUUCCAAUCGCUAACGGCGAAAGAUUAGCCGUAGGGGCAUAUUUCCUUGCUUUUGUAUACAGAGAAACUUUUGAUUCGAUCAAAUCAUUGGCAUCUGGAGAGGGUUUAGCAAUCGGUUCUAGUUGUGGUGAUCUUUGGUCCUUGCAAAUGUUUUUGCAAAUUUAUUUUCCUUCUCUAUGCCGAACUUCUUUGGAUAUAGAUUCGGCUCCUUAUUUCGAUACUUAUGGGUUGGCUCUCGGCUGUCCAAAGCCGCUAUCCUCAGGCCACCCAUUUGAUUUCGGCACUUAUUUCAAGAUUUUUUAUAAAUCGCGUUGUCAUCGCCUCAUUUCAUGGUCCCCAUUUGCAGAAUGCGUUACUCGUCCAUCUUGGCUUCUUGCUCGAUAUGAAGCCAUCCAAGGUGAACUAGCCUCUUCUCAGGCUAGUGAAUAUUCAGAUGUCUGAUUUUCUUUAUUGGCUGCGUGAGAUCUGCAUGUCGGGUUGAAGAUACGCUCGAAAGUGAUGUCCAGUACUGAAGUCCAUUCUCCCCGGUAUUACAGAUUUUGUAUUGGCAAGUUUUGUGAUUUGAGUCAGAGUCUUGAAGGGUUCGGUUCGUGAUUGUCGAAGAUUGAAGAAUCCGAGAUUCCGAGAAUUCAAAAACAUCUCACCGUAUGAAUCACGAUGCUCAUGUAAGUUUUUAAAUGUCUUUAUAGUGAUUCAUAUCUAUUUAUGAUGUUAGAAUUAUAUAAACUAAUGUUUAAUAGAUUAGAAAUGGUUUUUGAAACUUUUAAAUUGAAUAUAACAAUAUUAUAUAUUGUGUACCGGUAUCAGGUUCCAAUUCGUCAAAACCGUAUUGAAAAAUUUGAGUUUUUAUAUUGUGUACCAGUAUCCACAUCUGGUUCCUCAAAACUCGAGAGCUACAAUUCUCAUAAUUGUAUUGAGUACCGGUACCGAGCUCUAGUACCGGUACUACAUCGGCUGUGUACCAGUACUGCAUUGGUCGAGUACCGGUACGUAGCAUUAGAAAAUUUCUAGAUGCGUCCUGGCGUACCAGUACCGACACCCGAGUACCGAUACUCAAGUGUAAAAUUUUCUAAUUUACAUUCUAAUCCUAAUCUAAUUGAUUCUAAAGUCAUAAAUAUGACAUUGGGGUUCUCUAAUACGUACAGAAGCAUAGAAUACAUGCAAGAGUAACCUUAGAGGCUAGGUUUUCGUUCUAAACCCAUUUCCAUCAAAUAGCCUCUUUUAGUUCAAUUCGAGAUAUUGGAAUUCAAUAUUUAUAUGUCGAAUUGAUCUAAUAUUUGCUUAGAGAUUUUUCUCUGGUUCUUGGAUUCGGCGUGAUCAAGGCGGUUCGUGGAUUCGGAUCGUGGGCUCGAGGAUUCGAGUGGCGUUCGUGGAUUAGGACGUGGGUGUAGCGUUCGUGGAUUCGAACGUAAGGCGCGGACAAUCCGGUGACGUGCGCGAGAUCCGUCAGCGGUUAAGAGAGUUUAAGUCCGUAGAGUCGGUAAUCACCUUGUAAUCUUUUUCUCUUAGUGGAUUUUUUUUCGUAUGUUGGUCCCGUGGAUUUUUCUCCAAAUUGGAGUUUUCCCACGUAAGAAAAUCGGUGUGCUAUUUUAUUUUUCGCAUUACUUUUAUCGGCGAGAGAUUUGUGUUUUUGGACUAUACACCUAUUCACCCCCCUCUAGGCGUUUGAUAGUAUCGAGAUAGAUCCAAGGGUUUGUAUAACCUACAAGUGGUAUUAGAGCGGGAUCUAGAUUUUUCUAUCACUAUGGGUGAAGAUGCUAACACUAAUUGACCUACGCUUUUUGAUGGCACAAACUAUGCCUAUUGGAAGGUUCGCAUGAGAGCUUUUCUAAUAGCCAUCGAUGAGCGGGUUUGGCACUCCGUCGAAUUUGAAUGGAAGCAUCCUACCGAAAAGGUUGAGAAUGUUGAGAAGCCAAAACCACGUGAUAAAUAGAAUAACGAAGAGAAAGAUUUAUCUUCUUACAAUGGUAAAGGGAUUAAUGCUUUAUUCAAUAUCUUGACACAAACUGAAUUUUCAUAUGUUUAAGCAUGUAAAACCAUCAAAGAAAUUUGGAACAGUCUACAUGUUAGACAUGAGGGUACAAGCUUGGUAAAGGUUUAAAAACUUCAAAUGUUGACAAGUAAAUUUGAUUCGAUUCGUAUGGAAGAAAAUAAAACCUUUACCGAGUAUUAUACUCUUCUUCAAGACAUUGUUAACACGGGUGCUAACUUGGGAGAGAAAAUUUCUAAGCCUAAAAUUCUAAGAAAAAUUCUUCGAACUCUUUUCGCAAGAUUUCAUCCGAAGGUUGCGGCAAUUGAGACUAUCAAGCAUCCGGAUGAAAUGGAAGUAGAGGAAUUAGUAAGUGCUUUAUAAACGUACGAAAUGACUUUUCCUACUAAUCAAUCUUCUUCCAAUUCUUCUUCUAAAAGUAUAGGGGUUUCACUCAAAUCGACAAAGAAGGAAGACGUGGACUCUGAUUCUGACGAAGAUAUUUCGCUUGCCGACUUCGAACGCCAAUUAGUGCUUCUCACGAAGAAAUUUUUUCGGAACUUCCGGAAGAACAAAACGAACAAAGCCUCAUCUUCUAAGCAAAAAUCUUUUUCAAAAGGAUUUUCAAGUUCAAAAUCAAAAGAAAAGAACUUGCAAAACUUUCUAAAGAAAAAGAUGAUUUUGAAGGAAAAUUCACUGCUACAAAUAUAAAGGCUAUGACCACAUUUCCACGGAUUGUCCUACUAAAAAAUUGUAUAAAAAGAAGGCUUUGCAAGCUAAAACAUGGAUGAUUCUGCUUCUAGUGAAUCGAUCUCAAGUGACGAAGAAAAGAAUGAUGUUAUUGUUUUAUUUACAAAUACGUCUUUACCUUCGUCUUCUGUUGUUUGUUUAUCUUCUAUUUUAUCUGACUCCAUAUUUUUGGUUUUGCAUGAAACAUCGAGCGAUGGUGAUGAAAGCUAUGAGGAGUCGGACGAGGAAGAUCUUGCAGCGACAUAUCAACAACUUCUUAUUGAUUCUAAGAAAAUGGCUAAGCACAACAAAAAGUUGAGAAAACGAUUAUUGGAACUUGAGGAUAAGAACAAAACAUUGAAGACCACAAAUAAAGCUCUUGAGAAGGAAAGGGAGUUGAUAUUGAAGAACAAUGGAAUCCCCCAAGAGAAGCUAGACCAAUCGAAAAUAACGAUAAAAUCCUAUCAAGAGAAUAUUGGUUUUCUAGAACAAUAAUAUGAAGAAAUUCGUGCAUCCAACCAAGUUUUGACCAAACAAGUUUAUCAACUCAAAUCCGAUAUUCAAAAGUUUUUCUCUGGAUCAAAGAAGCUAGAUCAUAUGCUUGGAUUGGGCCAAAAGAAUAAACUUGGGCUUCGAUAUGAGCGGACUUAUGUUGAGAAAGAUGAAAAUUCAAAACAAGUCUCAACAACUUAGAAGGAAAAAGUGUGCCAUAGAUGUGGAAUCAAAAGACACAUCAAGAAGACAUGCCCUAAAAAGGAUAAGAAGGCUUUAUCGGCACCUUCCAAUACUCGACAACCCCCACGGAUUCAAAAGCAACAUUAAUUGAGUUGAGUAUCUCGAAUCAACCGGGAGUCAAAGCCACAACAAAAAGUUCAACCAAAGUCGAAUGCAACACGAAGAUCGACGGUGAAUCGGAAGUGAAAACAAACGGUGCCUAACGUCAACAAGCCAAGACAACCAACAAUCUGACAAGUUUGGGUUCGGAAAGAUGAUAUCUUUCCUUAUCGUUCACACGCGAACGGUGCGGCGGCGCGAGGAAAGGGCGUAGCUCCGUAGAUAGUGCCCUACCCCGAGACCAGAGAUAGCAGUACCCCGUGUCGGCAUAGCUUAGGGUUAUAGGAAAUGAAAAGAACAAAUGUAUCAAACUUGUAAUAAAUUUGUAGCAACUUGUAUUGUAUUCGGAAGUUGGAAAAAUGUAAUAUGUAAUUCUGAUGUAAAAUGCAGCUAAAGAUGAAUGUUGUAAUAACUUAGUUGUUUUAUGUUUUUGAUACUUCCUUA